rnacentral:rRNA from 1 species
UACGGGGGGAGCAAGCGUUGUUCGGAUUUACUGGGCGUAAAGGGCGCGUAGGCGGGAUGGCAAGUCGGUCGUGAAAUCUCUCGGCUCAACCGAGAAACGUCGGCCGAUACUGCCGUUCUUGAGGGAUGCAGAGGAGACUGGAAUUCCUGGUGUAGCGGUGGAAUGCGCAGAUAUCAGGAGGAACACCGGUGGCGAAGGCGGGUCUCUGGGCAGUAACUGACGCUGAGGAGCGAAAGCGUGGGGAGCGAACAGG